GAGAAAGAAGCUUGGGAACUUGCAAAGAAGAGCAAUGUAAACAUCAUUACGGUUUGUCCUUCUCUAACUAUAGGCCCACUGCUGCAGCCAACCAUGAAUUCCAGCAGCUUAUAUCUCCUCAAGCUAUUGAGAGAUGGAUCUGAAUCAGAAGAUAAUAGAAUCAUUCCUUACGUAGAUGUGCGUGAUGCAGCAGAAUCACUCUUGCUAGUAUAUGAGAAGCCU
rnacentral:misc_RNA from 1 species